GUGGAGGCGGAGGGCGGCCUGGGUCUGCCUGCUCGGAAGAGAAACCGAGGCAGCUGCCAGGCCCCGGCCCUGCUCCCACGAGGCCCGCCCGGGGUGCGGGAGGGCGCGGGGGAAAUCCAGGGAGAAGCGGGGGCGGCCGGGACGCGUGGUGGCAGGCGCGUGCUGGAGGGCCUCCCACGCCCUGGCGCACCCGGAGAAGUCUUUCUCCCAGAGGAAAAGGAAAUGCGGGUCACGGUCAGAACCCAGCCGAACCCUCCCAGCACAGGACUCGCCGGCGCCAGGCCGGAGCGGGCGACAGUGGCAGCAUUCCAACGUCAAAUCAAGAUAGACGGCAAGAACCCACGAGAAGAAGUCUGUGUCCCCAAACAUUCCAGUUGCACCUUCCCAAAGGUUGGGGGGUGGGGCGCGGCUUUCGUCUUUUUAAAAUGGCCCCGGGGCAGGCAGGGGGCUGCGGUGCUGGGGGCGGGCGCCGGUGUCACCUUCACACCAGAGGAUCCCUCUGCCUUCCCCUCACGCCCCGGCCUGAGAUUGGCUUAGCGCGGGUGGCGUGCGGUCCUCGGUUGGUUUAACGCUUCCCAGUUCACACCUGCGCUCGCUAUCGGGGCUGUGCCGGGGCUGCGCCGCCCGGGAGGCGGCCUGGGAGGUGACACGGGUGUCUCCGGGCUUCCCAGGACCCUGCCGGGGGUUCCCGCCUGGCGCUGCUGCUGAGACAUUGAACGUUUCAGAGCAAGGGGCCCCACAGGUUUUCUCCAGUCCUAUCUGUUAUCCCACCUGCCCAUUGCCCUCAUGCAGCACCUGCCCUCUAUUCCACAGGCGGGAAAGUGAGUCUGGAAAGGACGACUGGGGAGGGGGAGCCGAGACUAGCCCUGGCCUUGGGGAGCAUCCGGGUUGAGUCCCAGCGGUGGUCUCUCCCGCCAGCUGCUCUGGCCUGCUGACACCUCCACCGCUUACUGCAUUUCAUUUUAAAAACGCCCGCGCUGUUUGCUCACCUGCCAGCGGGGGUCCUGGGAGCUGCCGGGCCCGCGUCGCCCCUCCUGCCGCCCUCCUGCCGCCCUCCUUCCCCGGGCCUCGGAGCGGCCGGUGGGACUCCAGCCACCUCCGUGCCCCGUCGCCCGUCCUGGAGGGCCCAGGCCACUGCUUUGUUCUCUCCCGGGACGCAUUCCUGACCUUUAGACCCUCCUGGGCCCAGAGCUGGCCCUGCGCCCGCCCGUGGCAAUCGCUGCCUCCUGGGCGUUCCCUUCCCGUCCUGGGGCCCAGGCUGGGCAGCGGCGGGAAGGGAAAGCGCUGCCCGUGGCGAGGGCCAGCAGGGGUGGCCCUGCGCCCUGCACCUGCAGUGCCCCACCUGUCCCCAGCCCUGUGCGGUCCAGGUCAGCCACACGGCACUCGGGUCGGGGGCUGGGCAGGGCUCUGUGGUCCCCCGGGGGUCCGUUCACUUCUUGCCCGGGGCCGUUGGCCUCGGUGGGAUCCCUUUUGGGGACCAGACUUUCACUGCUCUGAGGACACCGUUCAUUUCGCCCCCGUCUGGGGCUCCUGCGAUGGGUGGGUUCUGAGCAGCGCCCUGGGUACCACUGGGACCCCUGCAAAGCCUCAUGGCCCCCUCCCCAGUGCUGCAGAAGGAGAGCCUGUUCCAGGCGGGCACCCACGUCUACAGAAUCCCCGCCCUGCUCUACCUGCCCCAGCGGCGCAGCCUCCUGGCCUUCGCGGAGCAGCGGACGAGUUACAAGGACGAGGACGCGGAUGUGAUUGUCCUGCGCAGAGGAGAGCACGACGCGUCCACCCACCGCGUCCGGGUAAGGCAGGCCCGGCUCAGGGGCUUCUCCAGGGUGGCUCCGUACACGCCCCUCUGCUGAGUGUGCCCGCGGAGCCAGGUCUGGAUGGAAUGGAAAGGGGGGACAACGGGAGGGUGGCGGUCUCGGGGAUGGAGGGAAAAGGGGAAUUGGAAGGCAGCAAGAGGGCCCCAGGGAAGCCUCUUCUGGGGCGGAGCCGAGAGGGCACCCCCUCGGAACCCACCCGGGCUCAUAGGAGCAGCCUGCCAGCCUGGCUGCACCCGCUCCGCUGCCUGGCUGGACGAGCCAGUCAGGGAAACUGGAUUCUAAAGAGCACUCCAUCGAGAAAUGGUUCAGUAUCAUGGAACCGGGGGCUUGAAUCUUUUGAGCAAAAUUAACCUGGGAGGAAGGGGGCAGUUGGGGUGAUUUCUUGUGUCCUGAAGUUCCAAUAUAUCCAGUAAUUAAUUCUGUGGAGGACACUCAAGCUGGCUUAUCAUAUUUGAAGGGUCUAAUAGUACUAUUAUCAUUUUGUGGUCUUUAUCACAAAUAGUCGUUUAGAGACCUGAGUUCAAGUCCUCCUUCCACCACUUCCCAGCAGCCUGAUCUCAGGCAACUCCUC
rnacentral:lncRNA from 1 species